rnacentral:rRNA from 1 species
UACAGAGGUCCCAAGCGUUGUUCGGAUUCACUGGGCGUAAAGGGCGCGUAGGCGGGAUGGCAAGUCAGUCGUGAAAUCUCUCGGCUCAACCGAGAAACGUCGGCUGAUACUGCCGUUCUUGAGGGAUGCAGAGGAGACUGGAAUUCCCGGUGUAGCGGUGAAAUGUGUAGAGAUCGGGAGGAACACCGGUGGCGAAGGCGGGUCUCUGGGCAUCUCCUGACGCUGAGGCGCGAAAGCGUGGGAGCAACGGG